rnacentral:rRNA from 1 species
GGGUGCGGGGCCUACCUGCAGUCGAGCGGACAGAUGGGAGCUUGCUCCCUGAUGUUAGCGGCGCACGGGUGAGUAACACGUGGGUAACCUGCCUGUACUCUGGGAUAACUCCGGGAAACCGGGGCUAAUACCGGAUGGUUGUUUGACCCGCAUGGUUCACAUCGAAAGGUGGCUUCGGCUACCACUUACAGAUGGACCCGCGGCGCAGUUGCUGGUUGGUGAGGUAACGGCUCACCAAGGCGACGAUGCGGACCGACCUGAAAGGGUGAUCGGGGCACUGGGACUGAAAUUGGCCCAAAGUCCUACAGCAGGCAGGAUAUUGAAUCUUCCGCAAUGGACGAAAGUCUGACGGACCCUUCCGCGUGAGUGAUGAAGGUUUUCGGAUCUUAAAGCUCUGUUGUUAGGCUAUAACAAGUGCCGCUGCAAUAGGGCGGCAGCUUGACGGUACGUAACCAGAAAGCCACGGCUAACUACGUGCCAGCAGGUUACGGUAUUACGUACGUGGCAAGCGUUGUCCGGAAUUAUUGGUCGUAAAGGGCUCGCUGCGGUUUCUUAAAUCUGAUGUGAAAGCCCCCGGCUCAGCCGGGGAGGGUCAUUGGAAACUGGGGAACUUGAGUGCAGAAGAGGAGAGUGUCUUCCACGUGUAACGGUGAAAUGCGUAGAGAUGUGUAUGAAACCAGUGGCGAAUGCGACUCUCUGGUCUGUGCUGACGCUGAAGAUAGUACGCGCGGAGAGCAUACACUAUUAGAUACCCUGUAAGUACGCGCCAUAUACCACGAGUGCUAAGUGUCAUGGGGAUUACUGACACUCAGCGCUGCAGCUGACGCACUAAACAGUCGGACUGGGCGAGUGCGUUCGCUCGACUCACACUCAAAGAUAUUGACGGGGACUCACACAAUCCGAGGGACUAUGAGAUUAAUUCGUAUCAUCGGAACGACGCUUACCAGGUGCUUGCACAGUCCUCCUGAUCAGUCUUAGACAUAGGACGUUUCCGUUCAGGUCCCGAACGACGGCUGGUGCAUUGUUUGAUCGUCCCCUCGAGUAGAUGAGAGCUCGUGAUAAGACCUGCCGACGAUCGACCACCCAUGAAGCUGAGUAGCACGCAUCGAGUGCGGCCCUGCUAAGUGCACUGCGAGCACCAUACCUAAUAAGGCGGGUAAUAACGUCAGCAUCAUGCGUAGACUGCAACACGGUCUACACUGGCAGAGUACGAGCGUCUAGC